rnacentral:rRNA from 1 species
AAUAACGUCGAGAAAUCGGCGCUAAUACCUCAUAAUGCAGCGGAUCCGCAUGGAUAUGUUGUUAAAGGUUUACCGCCUUGGGAUAGGCUUGCGUCUGAUUAGCUAGUUGGGUGUGGUAACUGGCACACCAAGGCUACGAUCAGUAACUGGCUGAGAGGAUGAUCAGUCACACUGGAACUGAGACACGGUCCAGACUCCUACGGGAGGCAGCAGUGAGGAAUAUUUGGGCAAUGCACGAAAGUGUGACCCAGCAACGCCGCGUGGAGGAUGAAGGUAUUCUAUAUCGUAAACUCCUGUGAGAGCAGACGAAAGACCGAUUAUUAAUUUGGAUGACUGUAUGCUCAGAGGAAGCCCGGCUAACUACGUG